GAUAAGAUCACCACCCUUGCCACAGGCAAGAUCAAGAACGGCAUCGCCUCUGCGAGCAUAAAGCUGAACCAAGACACUUUUAAUCCAAUUAUUAAGCUUCUUUAAAUGGAUGAUAACACUAGCUUCUCGCUCUUCCAAAGUCUGAUUCGUCCUCGCACUGUAAUGUUCAGCCACUUUCCGAGCAAAAAUCUUGGUGCUUUCAUCUUCUAAAAACACAGCAUCACCUUCUGGGUUGUAUUUGAAUCUGGAUUGGGGAGGCCCCACAGACGCGGAUGGGGAUUCUGAGUAUCCUCGUUUCAUAGCCAAACCGUUCUUUGAUCCCGAUCCGCCUCAAGUCCUCCAAAAAUGGUUCAGACACCUAU
rnacentral:misc_RNA from 1 species